rnacentral:lncRNA from 1 species
GUUUUUCAUGCAUAGAAGGAGUUUAGCAAGUGUUUUCAAGAACUGAAUGAGACAUCGGGACACCAGGAAAUAGUGGGGAAACUCCUUUAGUUUCCUCCUGCGCAGGCUGAGCCCAGGAUAAAAGGACCCUGUUCUGGGCUUCUCCACACACUUGAAUCCCUGAAGCCUGGAACAGCCUGGAAAGGCAGUUGAUCUACAAUCUAAAGAAAAUGUCCUAUCAGCAGCAGCAACAAUGCAAAGUUCCCUGCCAGCCCCCUCCCCAGGUCCCUGAGCCCUGCCCUCCCAAGGUGCCUGAGCCGUGUCCCCCACCUCCUGGCCAGCAGGAGUAUCCCCCUGUUAAGUGCCCCCCUGGCCAGCAAAAAUACCCGCCGAAGUAGAAGUGACACCUCUGAAGCCACCCUCUCCGACCUGGUCAUGAAGCACCCCCUUGCUCACUCCUGCCCCAUCACUUCCAGCAACAACAGGGAGCACACACAACCUAGAAGAUGCUGCCUCUCUUGAGACUCAAGAAGAAAGAUAUUGUCAUAGUCUACUGGAUUUUCCUCCUCCAAUCAACGACUCCUCCCAGCUCCUCUCCCAGGAAGCCACACGAUUUAGACAGAAGUGCCAUGUUCUCAGACCCUUCCCUAGAGGCCAUAUGUGUUCUUGCCCUUCUCCAUCCACUGUCCUGGUCGGGACCAGGCCAGACUUUCCAGCUGCCAUCUCCUCUACCACAUUGCCUUCUGCUGGUUGUACAAGCUCACUACAAGGACACAGAUUUCCUUGCUCAGCAAUCUGCCUCCGUGGGUUUCAACUCCAUGAAAGUUUCUAGGAGCAAACAUGAUUGAAAAAUUAAAACAAGGGAACUGUUUAAAUCAAUUGAAAGUUUCCUAGAGUUCUUCACAGCACAACUGCACACUCUUUAGCGAAGAGAACGAGGUCUUCUGUUUGUUAUUUCCCACAACCCCUAAGAAAGCUCACCCCUCCCUCUGGACUCUGACUCCAUUAAAAUGACUCCAUGCUCUAUGAUGCUCCUUCCUCCCUGCUUCUCAAUAAAAAAUAUGCAUCCCUGA